rnacentral:rRNA from 1 species
UACGUAGGGGGCGAGCGUUGUCCGGAAUUAUUGGGCGUAAAGGGAGCGUAGGCGGGACAGCAAGUUGGAUGUGAAAUGUACGGGCUCAACCCGUGAGCUGCAUCCAAAACUGUAGUUCUUGAGUGAAGUAGAGGCAGGCGGAAUUCCUAGUGUAGCGGUGAAAUGCGUAGAUAUUAGGAGGAACACCAGUGGCGAAGGCGGCCUGCUGGGCUUUAACUGACGCUGAGGCUCGAAAGCGUGGGGAGCAAACAGG